rnacentral:rRNA from 1 species
GAUGAACGCUGGCGGCGUGCCUAAUACAUGCAAGUCGAGCGAACAGACGAGGAGCUUGCUCCUCUGACGUUAGCGGCGGACGGGUGAGUAACACGUGGAUAACCUACCUAUAAGACUGGGAUAACUUCGGGAAACCGGAGCUAAUACCGGAUAAUAUAUUGAACCGCAUGGUUCAAUAGUGAAAGACGGUUUUGCUGUCACUUAUAGAUGGAUCCGCGCCGCAUUAGCUAGUUGGUAAGGUAACGGCUUACCAAGGCAACGAUGCGUAGCCGACCUGAGAGGGUGAUCGGCCACACUGGAACUGAGACACGGUCCAGACUCCUACGGGAGGCAGCAGUAGGGAAUCUUCCGCAAAGGGCGAAAGUCUGACGGAGCAACGCCGCGUGAGUGAUGAAGGUCUUCGGAUCGUAAAACUCUGUUAUUAGGGAAGAACAAAUGUGUAAGUAACUAUGCACGUCUUGACGGUACCUAAUCAGAAAGCCUCGGCUAACUACGUG